rnacentral:rRNA from 1 species
UACGUAGGGUGCAGGCGUUAAUCGGAAUUACUGGGCGUAAAGCGUGCGCAGGCGGUUUUGUAAGACAGGCGUGAAAUCCCCCGAGCUCAACUUGGGAAUUGCGCUUGUGACUGCAAGGCUAGAGUGUGUCAGAGGGGGGGUAGAAUUCCACGUGUAGCAGUGAAAUGCGUAGAGAUGUGGAGGAAUACCGAUGGCGAAGGCAGCCCCCCUGGGACAUGACUGACGCUCAUGCACGAAAGCGUGGGGGAGCAAACAGG